rnacentral:hammerhead_ribozyme from 1 species
AAGCUGACGAGUCUUAAAUAGGACGAAACGCGCUUCCUGGAU